rnacentral:rRNA from 1 species
UCGAGCGGUAGCACAGGAGAGCUUGCUCUCUGGGUGACGAGCGCCGUAUGGGUGAGUAAUGUCUGGGAAACUGCCUGAUGGAGGGGGAUAACUACUGGAAACGGUAGCUAAUACCGCAUAACGUCGCAAGACCAAAGAGGGGGACCUUCGGGCCUCUUGCCAUCAGAUGUGCCCAGAUGGGAUUAGCUAGUAGGUGGGGUAAUGGCUCACCUAGGCGACGAUCCCUAGCUGGUCUGAGAGGAUGACCAGCCACACUGGAACUGAGACACGGUCCAGACUCCUACGGGAGGCAGCAGUGGGGAAUAUUGCACAAUGGGCGCAAGCCUGAUGCAGCCAUGCCGCGUGUAUGAAGAAGGCCUUCGGGUUGUAAAGUACUUUCAGCGAGGAGGAAGGCGUUAAGGUUAAUAACCUUAGCGAUUGACGUUACUCGCAGAAGAAGCACCGGCUAACUCCGUGCCAGCAGCCGCGGUAAUACGGAGGGUGCAAGCGUUAAUCGGAAUUACUGGGCGUAAAGCGCACGCAGGCGGUCUGUCAAGUCGGAUGUGAAAUCCCCGGGCUCAACCUGGGAACUGCAUUCGAAACUGGCAGGCUAGAGUCUUGUAGAGGGGGGUAGAAUUCCAGGUGUAGCGGUGAAAUGCGUAGAGAUCUGGAGGAAUACCGGUGGCGAAGGCGGCCCCCUGGACAAAGACUGACGCUCAGGUGCGAAAGCG